rnacentral:rRNA from 1 species
AGGACGAACGCUGGCGGCGUGCUUAACACAUGCAAGUCGAACGGAAAGGCCCUUUCGGGGGUACUCGAGUGGCGAACGGGUGAGGUAACACGUGGGUGAUCUGCCCUGCACUUUGGGAUAAGGCCUGGGAAACUGGGUCUAAUACCGAAUACACCCUGCUGGUCGCAUGGCCUGGUGGGGGAAAGCUUUUGCGGUUGUGGGAUGGGCCCGCGGCCUAUCAGCUUGUUGGUGGGGUGAUGGCCUACCAAGGCGACGACGGGUA